UGCCUGCUCCUCUUCGGCACUGGCUAAAGC
rnacentral:piRNA from 2 species